rnacentral:rRNA from 1 species
AUUGAACGCUGGCGGCAGGCCUAACACAUGCAAGUCGAGCGAGCGGAGGACGGGUGAGUAAUGUCUGGGGGACUGCCUGAUGGAGGGGGAUAACUACUGGAAACGGUAGAUAAUACCGCAUACUAUCGGAUGUGCCCACAGGGGAUUAGCUAGUAGGUGGGGUACUGGCUCACCUCGGCGACGAUCCCUAUCUGGUCUGAGAGGAUGACCAGCCACACUGGAACUGAGACACGGUCCAGACUCCUACGGGAGGCAGCAGUGGGGAAUAUUGCACAAUGGGCGCAAGCCUGAUGCAGCCAUGCCGCGUGUAUGAAGAAGGCCUUCGGGUUGUAAAGUACUUUCAGCGAGGAGGCGUUACUCGCAGAAGAAGCACCGGCUAACGCCGGGCCAGCAGCCGCGGUAAUUC